rnacentral:rRNA from 1 species
CCUAGGGGAGGCAGUAGAGGGGAAUUUUGGACAAUGGGCGAAAGCCUGAUCCAGCAAUGCCGCGUGCAGGAUGAAGGCCCUCGGGUUGUAAUCUGCUUUUGUACGGAACGAAAAGCCUGGGGCCAAUACCCCCGGGUCAUGACGGUACCGUAAGAAUAAGCACCGGCUAACUACGUGCCAGCAGCCGCGGUAAU